CCUAUAUUUCAGCAAGAUUUAGGUGAUUCAUUUAACAAUUCGUAUUCCAUUGGCCAGUUGGAAGGUCAAUCUGCUGCGAAGGAAAUUUCACACAAAGGAGUUAGUUAUAGUUUUACGAGGGUUUUGGCAUUAUUAGCCCACACAUCCCUUUUCCCAUACUCGCGUGUUGUUUAUGCGAGCUGGUUUCAUAACUGGAGGAAAUAUCACAAGGGAUGCAGACCGUCUUCGGCAAUCGUCCGCUACUGUGACAAUUCAACCCAUUGUCAACAAAUAACCGUCACCUAUCACAAACAACUAAAUGUUCUAAAUGCCUGUAAAGUUGGACUUUCAUUCUAUAAGCAGCGAUCCAGGACCAAUUCCUGUCGCUAUAUUUUCAAUCGACGGUUUGCACGGGUCUAUCCCGAUUUUACGUUUUCGGUGUGUUCCUGCUCUCUCUUGGCUGGACUGUAAAUCGACUCAUUGAUGGUUCGAACCACAUAUUGCAUGAUGCAGAACGAUUGGCCUACCAAACUCCGAUUCUUAGCGUGUUGGUCCAAUACAGAACGGUGGCUUUCUGGGAGAUUAUAAAAGUUACGUCGAACUACCAUCAACCCAGG